AAUGAAUCAAUAAACCUGACAACACUUGCAUUCCAUGUGUUAGGGUGAGCUUGAGAAGGGAUUUGAAUUGUUUCGAAAAGGGAGGAAGAGAGUAUAGGGAGAAGACGUGACCAUUGACCAACAAAGGAAAGCAAAGGCAAAGGUAUGGGUACCUAAAUUCGUAUGGUCUUGGAUGGUUUGGAACUGAUUGUGAAGUAUCUAAGGGGUGUGCUCUUAUCUUGAAACUGAUUGUGAAGUAUGGUUUGGAACUGAUUGUACAUUUAAAAUACAUAUUGAAUUUCUUAAAAUUCUGCCACAUACCACUAAGAUAAGACUGAAAAUUUCUAAAAUUUCUUGUUGACUGUUGAAGAAUAGAUUUACUUCCUUAGAUAUGCAUAAGUUAAAGGAAACACUUGAUAUAGAUGAUGAAAUUACAGUGUUUUAGAUUAUAUUUAAUC
rnacentral:lncRNA from 1 species